rnacentral:rRNA from 1 species
AUUGAACGCUGGCGGAAUGCUUUACACAUGCAAGUCGAGCGGCAGCGCGGGGCAACCUGGCGGCGAGCGGCGAACGGGUGAGUAAUGCAUCGGAACAUGUCCAUGUCGUGGGGGAUAGCCCGGCGAAAGCCGGAUUAAUACCGCAUACGCCCGAGAGGGGAAAGUGGGGGACCGCAAGGCCUCACGCGAUUGGGUUGGCCGAUGUCCGAUUAGCUAGUUGGUGGGGUAAAGGCCUACCAAGGCGAUGAUCGGUAGCUGGUCUGAGAGGAUGAUCAGCCACACCGGGACUGAGACACGGCCCAGACUCCUACGGGAGGCAGCAGUGGGGAAUUUUGGACAAUGGGGGCAACCCUGAUCCAGCCAUUCCGCGUGAGUGAAGAAGGCCUUCGGGUUGUAAAGCUCUUUUGUCCGGAACGAAACGGUUACGGUGAAUACCCGUGACUACUGACGGUACCGGAAGAAUAAGCACCGGCUAACUACGUGCCAGCCGCCGCUGUAA